rnacentral:sRNA from 1 species
UGUCUAUUUGUUCCGGCCAAACAGGGAU